GUAGGGUUGCACGAUUUAGGCUCCAUAAUCAUAUAUUGGCAAAGGGUCUAAGAAGCGUUGUUGUGCGCCUGAGUCGAAGAAGCCUCACGAUCGGGAUUGAUGAUAGGUUUCCGUGCGCGUAGGUCGAAGAGAGAUUUAAGCAAUGACCAGUUGACCACAUUGGGAGUAGCAUUCCGUCCAAUUUGCCAGCUACCUUGUAAAACUCGGAUUUAUCCAGUAAUAACUUGAGUGGGAUUCUGCCGCCCUCUUUAGAAAAUCUGUAGUCUCUAACAACUCUGAGUUUCAUAAACAAUUGAUAGAGCAUCAAUUAUUUUACCAACUCACCAAGAUUAGAGCUCACUAUUAUAUUGGCAGGCGUUUGCAGAACAAUUAGUUUUCUUGGCCACUGGAUGUCUUAUAAGAUCUUCCCUUAAAAGAUUUGUGCUCUAAUUUACAUUUCAUCUAGUAUUUACUUAAUACUCUUUUUCUAUGAGAUUUUGAGUUGUAAUUUGAGAUUAAUAUUAUCAUAAUUUUGUGAUUAUUAAUUAGUUGUAUGUAUAAUUUUAUUAUUAAUGUUUAAAUUAAUUGGAUCU